rnacentral:rRNA from 1 species
GACGAACGCUGGCGGCGUGCUUAACACAUGCAAGUCGAACGGAAAGGCCCCCACCUUGGUGGGGGUGCUCGAGUGGCGAACGGGUGAGUAACACGUGGGUGAUCGGCCCUGUACUUCGGGAUAAGCUUGGGAAACUGGGUCUAAUACCGGAUAGGACCAUGGUUUAGUGUCUCAUGGUGGAAAAAUUAUUGUUUUGGUGCAGGAUGAGCUCGCGGCCUAUCAGCUUGUUGGUGGGGUAAUGGCCUACCAAGGCGUCGACGGGUAGCCGGCCUGAGAGGGUGGACGGCCACAUUGGGACUGAGAUACGGCCCAGACUCCUACGGGAGGCAGCAGUGGGGAAUAUUGCACAAUGGGCGCAAGCCUGAUGCAGCGACGCCGCGUGGGGGAUGACGGCCUUCGGGUGGUAAACUCCUUUCGUUAGGGACGAAGCCACACCUUUUUUGGGUGUGGUGACGGUACCUUUGUUAAGAAGCACCGGCUAACUACGUG